rnacentral:rRNA from 1 species
GCGGGCAUCAGGCACAAAUUUUAGCCCAAAACGCCUAGCCAAGCCACACCCCCAAGGGAAUUCAGCAGUGAUAGACAUUAAGCUAUGAGUGAAAACUUGACUCAGUCAGGGUUAAGAGGGCCGGUAAAACUCGUGCCAGCCACCGCGGUUAAACGAGAGGCCCUAGUUGAUAUUAUUACGGCGUAAAGGGUGGUUAAGGAAAUAAAAGUCAAUAAAGCCAAAUGGCCCUUUGGCCGUCAUACGCUUCUAGGUGUCCGAAGUCCGACCACACGAAAGUAGCUUUAGUAAACCCACCUGACCCCACGAAAGCUGAGGAACAAACUGGGAUUAGAUACCCCACUAUGCUCAGCCAUAAACCUAGACGUCAACCUACAAUUAGACGUUCGCCAGGGUACUACGAGCAUCAGCUUGAAACCCAAAGGACCUGACGGUGCCUUAGAUCCCCCUAGAGGAGCCUGUUCUAGAACCGAUAACCCCCGUUAAACCUCACCACUUCUAGCCACCCCA